CACGUAGGGUGCAAGCGUUGUCCGGAAUUAUUGGGCGUAAAGAGCUCGUAGGCGGUUUGUCGCGUCUGCUGUGAAAACUCGGGGCUUAACUCCGGGCCUGCAGUGGGUACGGGCAGACUAGAGUGCGGUAGGGGAGACUGGAAUUCCUGGUGUAGCGGUGAAAUGCGCAGAUAUCAGGAGGAACACCGGUGGCGAAGGCGGGUCUCUGGGCCGUAACUGACGCUGAGGAGCGAAAGCGUGGGGAGCGAACAGG
rnacentral:rRNA from 1 species